UUGGCUCAUGAGCCAAGAGCACCUGGAAGGAGAUUUGGGGUGGCAGAGGUGACGGCUAUGGAGACUUUAUCACGAGGAAGAGCUGCAGUCAAGGAACACGGAUGCAUAAGCUGCAGCAGUACGUGCGGAAGAAGCAGCAGUCUGUGUCUGCUUCCACAAAUGCUCCAACUAAACCCCUGGGUAAGUUGUUUUAAUAAUAUUUUAAUAACGUUGUUGAUGUGAAACAAGUUCAGUAUAUAUUUAUCUAGUUGUUGCCUGCAUCAUAGGGAUGGAUGAGGAUAAAGACCUGGAGGACGCAAUGCUGAGCAUCUCACCUGUAAAACUACACAUGCAGAGCUUCACUGUGCCAGCAGCAGCAGAAGGGUCCACACCCAGAGGAUCUUCAGGAGCAAACACAGGUUUUCAAAUGAAAGGUUUCAGAACUGGAGUAAAAUAGUUUUACAUGAAUUGCUCUCCAAAGCUGAGCCUGAACUUUUAUAUAUUGUCUUGUUCUUGUUUUUGUGUGUUCUGGCCACGUUCCGGCGAUGUUCCUCUAAUAGUAUAGUUGUAUGCUGGCUGUAUGGUGGAAGAAAACAGUAAAUAAGGGAGAAACAGUUGAUUUUGUACAUAAGACAGUUUUGUUCUAGUUGUGAAUGUUUCUUUUGUUUAUAUAAAUAAAAACAGAUUGUAAAUAUAAAAGUGUAAAUAAAGAGUUUUCUGCAAAAAUAUCAACACAGUUUUCUUCUUAGAGUUCACCUAUAUGUUUAUAUAUCUGUGUGCUCACCAUCAGGUAAUCAGUUUUAAUAAGUUGUGAGUGCUGGCCUUAAAGCUUACAUACUAUUUCUAAAUCACUUCAUGUAAUGAUAACGAGCCAUCCUUUCUCUAGAGGGGUCUCAUAGCUUUUAUCUUCAUAAUCUUUCUGUUUUCAUU
ensembl:lncRNA